rnacentral:rRNA from 1 species
UAGGGAAUCUUCCGCAAUGGACGCAAGUCUGACGGAGCAACGCCGCGUGAGUGAAGAAGGAUUUCGGUUCGUAAAACUCUGUUGUUAGAGAAGAACAGCGCAUAGAGUAACUGUUAUGCGUGUGACGGUAUCUAACCAGAAAGCCACGGCUAACUACGUGCCAGCAGCCGCGGUAAUACGUAGGUGGCAAGCGUUGUCCGGAUUUAUUGGGCGUAAAGCGAGCGCAGGCGGUUAGAAAAGUCUGAAGUGAAAGGCAGUGGCUCAACCAGUGUAGGCUUUGGAAACUGUUUAACUUGAGUGCAGAAGGGGAGGGUGGAAUUCCAUGUGUAGCGGUGAAAUGCGUAGAUAUAUGGAGGAACACCGGUGGCGAAAGCGGCUCUCUGGUCUGUAACUGACGCUGAGGCUCGAAAGCGUGGGGAGCGAACAGG